rnacentral:rRNA from 1 species
UACGUAGGGUGCGAGCGUUAAUCGGAAUUACUGGGCGUAAAGCGUGCGCAGGCGGUUCGUUGUGUCCGAUGUGAAAGCCCCGAGCUCAACUUGGGAAUGGCAUUGGAAACUGGCGGGCUGGAGUGUGGCAGAGGGGGGUGGAAUUCCACGUGUAGCAGUGAAAUGCGUAGAGAUGUGGAGGAACACCGAUGGCGAAGGCAGCCCCCUGGGCCAACACUGACGCUCAGGCACGAAGCGUGGGAGCAACAGG